GAUGAACGCUGGCGGCGUGCCUAAUACAUGCAAGUCGAGCGAACAGACGAGGAGCUUGCUCCUCUGACGUUAGCGGCGGACGGGUGAGUAACACGUGGAUAACCUACCUAUAAGACUGGGAUAACUUCGGGAAACCGGAGCUAAUACCGGAUAAUAUAUUGAACCGCAUGGUUCAAUAGUGAAAGACGGUUUUGCUGUCACUUAUAGAUGGAUCCGCGCCGCAUUAGCUAGUUGGUAAGGUAACGGCUUACCAAGGCAACGAUGCGUAGCCGACCUGAGAGGGUGAUCAGCCACACUGGAACUGAGACACGGUCCAGACUCCUACGGGAGGCAGCAGUAGGGAAUCUUCCGCAAUGGGCGAAAGCCUGACGGAGCAACGCCGCGUGAGUGAUGAAGGUCUUCGGAUCGUAAAACUCUGUUAGUAGGGAAGAACAAAGUUGUAAGUAACUAUGCACGUCUUGACGGUACCUAAUCAGAAAGCCACGGCUAACUACGUG
rnacentral:rRNA from 1 species